rnacentral:rRNA from 1 species
CCUACGGGAGGCAGCAGUAGGGAAUCUUCCACAAUGGGCGAAAGCCUGAUGGAGCAACGCCGCGUGGGUGAAGAAGGUCUUCUGAUCGUAAAACCCUGUUGUUAGAGAAGAAAGUGCGUGAGAGUAACUGUUCACGUUUCGACGGUAUCUAACCAGAAAGCCACGGCUAACUACGUGCCAGCAGCCGCGGUAAUACGUAGGUGGCAAGCGUUAUCCGGAUUUAUUGGGCGUAAAGGGAACGCAGGCGGUCUUUUAAGUCUGAUGUGAAAGCCUUCGGCUUAACCGGAGUAGUGCAUUGGAAACUGGGAGACUUGAGUGCAGAAGAGGAGAGUGGAACUCCAUGUGUAGCGGGGAAAUGCGUAGAUAUAUGGAAGAACACCAGUGGCGAAAGCGGCUCUCUGGGCUGUAACUGACGCUGAGGUUCGAAAGCGUGGGUAGCAAACAGGAUUAGAUACCCGAGUAGUC